GAGUUUGAUCCUGGCUCAGGAUGAACGCUGGCGGCGUGCUUAACACAUGCAAGUCGAACGAAGCAGCAUGGAACGAAUCUUCGGAGGAGGGAAAUGGUGACUGAGUGGCGGACGGGUGAGUAACGCGUGGGUAACCUGCCUCGUACAGGGGGACAACAGUUGGAAACGACUGCUAAUACCGCAUAAGCGCACGAUACUGCAUGGUAUUGUGUGAAAAACUGAGGUGGUACGAGAUGGACCCGCGUCUGAUUAGCUGGUUGGUGGGGUAACGGCCUACCAAGGCGACGAUCAGUAGCCGACCUGAGAGGGUGACCGGCCACAUUGGGACUGAGACACGGCCCAGACUCCUACGGGAGGCAGCAGUGGGGAAUAUUGCACAAUGGGGGAAACCCUGAUGCAGCAACGCCGCGUGAAGGAAGACGGUUUUCGGAUUGUAAACUUCUGUUCUUAGUGAAGAAACAUGACGGUAGCUAAGGAGCAAGCCACGGCUAACUACGUGCCAGCAGCCGCGGUAAUACGUAGGUGGCAAGCGUUGUCCGGAAUUACUGGGUGUAAAGGGAGCGUAGGCGGGAAGCCAAGUCAGCUGUGAAAACUAC
rnacentral:rRNA from 1 species